rnacentral:misc_RNA from 1 species
AGCAAAGAUCACGAAAAGGCCCGA